rnacentral:rRNA from 1 species
CCCGCUGAACUUAAGCAUAUCAGUAAGCGGAGGAAAAGAAACUAACAAGGAUUCCCCUAGUAGCGGCGAGCGAAGCGGGAACAGCUCAAAUUUAAAAUCUGGCAUCCGAAUGGGUGUCCGAAUUGUAAUUGAGAGGGUCACCUUUUGGCGACCCGGGAUGGUCAAAGUUCUCUGGAAAGGGACAACAAAGAGGGUGACAUUCCCGUCUGGAUCAUCUCGGGCAGCCAGGAUAAAGGCGGCUCCAAGAGUCGGAUUGUUUGGGAAUGCAGUCCAAAAUGGGUGGUACAUUUCAUCUAAAGCUAAAUAUUGGCAAGAGACCGAUAGCGAACAAGUACCGUGAGGGAAAGAUGAAAAGAACUUUGAAAAGAGAGUUAAAUAGUACGUGAAAUUGUUAAAAGGGAAACGAUUGAGACCAGUGAUGUCCCAGUCCUUGAGCUUGCCCUUUGGGGCCUGUGUCUGGGCUGGGACAAGUCGACGCUCCUUUUGGAGGGUGGAUAAGACUGGCGGAAAGGUGGCUCCACCUUCGGGUGGCUGCUUUAUAGUCCGCCGGGGAUACACCGCCUGGGAGGAGAACGGUAGGGCCGCAAGGCUCACGUCGACGAAAUGGUCUUAAACGACCCGUCUUGAAACACGG